AUGACUAUCCAUUCUGAUGUAUGGAGGCUUACUCAAACUGUGUCUUUAUCAUGUUAUAGAUGGUUUGUUACCUUUAUUGAUUGUUGCACUAGACUAACCUGUUAUAUUUGAUGAAAGCAAAAAGUGAGGUGUUUACUUGUUUCUAACAAUUUUAUAAAAUGAUUUGCACUUAAUUUGAUGCAAAAGUUAAAAUUUUCAAAACAGAUAAUGGGACAGAAUAUGU
rnacentral:misc_RNA from 1 species